UUCUCCCUCUUAGAAGCUCAUGUUAAUGGUUCCCCAAAUAAGUUCAAGUUAGAACUCCUAGCACAAGAAAACACACAUCAAAAGGUUCUAUAAUACAAUGAAAUAAUGGACAAGAGGGAGUUUAGAAUAUGGUCCUUUCAAUGUUCAUCUUCAAGCUUAAGCAUUCUAAAGGCUUAAUGCCUAGUUGCUCUUUGACUUUUUAUAGCACUCUAAAGGCCCAAUGCCUAGUUGCUCUUUG
rnacentral:lncRNA from 1 species